rnacentral:lncRNA from 1 species
UUUUGGUAUAGCAUUGGAAAUGUAAAUGAGCUAAAUACCUAAUAAAAAAUGGAAAAGGAAAAAAAAAGUUAAAAAAAAAAAAGAAUGCCUCAAAGCCCACCUAUACAGUGAUACACUUCCUCCAACAUGGCCAUGCCUACUCCAGCAAGGGCAUUCCUAUUCUUUCUUUCUUUCUUUCUUUCUUUCUUUCUUUCUUUCUUUCUUUCUUUCUUUCUUUUUUCUAUUAAUUAAAAAAAAUACAGGCUUUUUUUAAAGAUUUAUUUAUUUUAUGUAAGUACAGUAUUGCUCUCUUCAGACACAUUGGAAGAGAGCAUCAGAUCCUGUUAUGAGCCACCAUGUGGUUGCUGGGAAUUGAACUCAGAACCUCUGGAAGAGCAGUCAGUGCUCUUAACCACUGUGCCCUAUUCUUUAUUCCUUUCCAAUUCUUUUCUUUUCUUUACUAUAUUUAAAUUUUUAUUUUUAUUUACAUGAGUGUGUGCCUGAAUGUUUUUUCCCUUUUUUUAUUAGAUAUUUUCUUUAUUUAUAUUUCAAAUGUUAUCCCCUUUCCCUGUCACACACACACAAACACCCGGAACCCCCUAUGACAACCCCUCCCCCGCUUCUAUGAGGAUAUUCCCCCACUGACCGGUACCUACUCUCUCCUCCCCACCCUGGCAUUCCCCAACACCAGGGCAUCAAGUCUUCACAGGACCAAGAACCUCUUCUCCCAUUGAUGCCUGACAAGGCCAUCCUCUGCUGCAUAUGCAGCUGGAGCCAUGGGUCCCUCCAUGUGUACCCUUUGGUUGGUGGUUUAGUCCCUGGGAACUCUGGAGGGGUCAGGUUGAUUUAUAUUGUUGUUCCUCCUAUGGGGUUGCAAACCCUUUCAGCUCUUUUAGUCCUUUCUCUAACUCCUCCAUUGGGGACCCUGUACUCAGUCCAAUGGUUGACUGUGAGCAUCUGCCUCUGUAUUUGUCAGGCUCUGGCAGAGCCUCUCAGGAGACAGCUAUAUCAGGCUCCUGUCAACAUGGACUUCCUGCCAUCUACAAUAGUGUCUACAUUUGGUGACUGUAUAUGGGAUGGAUCCCCAGGUGGGGCAGUCUCUGGAUGGCCUGUCCUUCAGUCUCUGCUCUACUGUUUGUCCCUGUAUUUUCUUUAAACAGGAGCAAUUCUGGGUUAAAAUUUUGGACAUGGGUGGGUGGCCCUAUCCCUCAACCAGGUUGCCAUGCCUAACCUCUAGAUAUGGUCUUGACAGCUUCUCCCUCCCCUUUGUGGGGUAUUUCAGCUAAUGCCAUCCCUUUGGGGUCCUGGGAGGCUCUUGCUUUCCUGGCAUCUGAAACUUCCUGGUUCCUACCCCUUUGCCCAUCGCCCAUUGCUACACACCUCUGUUCAAUUUCCUGACCCUCUGUACAUCUCCAGGACACAAUGAGAAGACCAAACCUAAGGAUAAUAGGUAUAAAAGAGAGAGAAGAUUCCCAACUCAAAGGGCCCGUAAAUACCUUCAACAAAAUUAUAGAGGAAAACUUCCCUGACCUAAAGAAAGAGAUGUCUAUAAACAUACAAGAGGCCUACAGAAUUCCAAAUAGACUAGACCAGAAAAGAAAUUCCUCCCAUCACAUAAUAGUCAAAACACCAAAUGC